rnacentral:tRNA from 1 species
GGGGUUGUAGCUCAGCGGUAGAGCGCUCAUCCAGCAUGUGCGAGGCCCUGUGUUCGAUACUCAGCACCACA